rnacentral:rRNA from 1 species
CAGGACGAACGCUGGCGGCGUGCCUAAUACAUGCAAGUCGAACGGUCUUUCUAUGGAAGCUUGCUUCCACUGGGAAGAUAGUGGCGGACGGGUGAGUAACACGUGGGUAACCUGCCCAUAAGAGGGGGAGUAACAUCCGGAAACGGGUGCUAAUACCGCAUAGUUUUCUUGAUCGCAUGGUCGAGAAAGGAAAGACGGCCUUUGUGCUGUCGCUUAUGGAUGGACCCGCGGCGUAUUAGUUAGUUGGUGAGGUAACGGCUCACCAAGACGAUGAUACGUAGCCGACCUGAGAGGGUGAUCGGCCACAUUGGGACUGAGACACGGCCCAAACUCCUACGGGAGGCAGCAGUAGGGAAUCUUCCGCAAUGGACGAAAGUCUGACGGAGCAACGCCGCGUGAGUGAAAGAAGGUUUUCGGAUCGUAAAACUCUGUUGUCAGAGAAGAACAAGUCGGAGAGUAACUGCUCCGGCCUUGACGGUAUCUGACCAGAAAGCCACGGCUAACUACGUGCCAGCCGCCGC